GAUGAACGCUGGCGGCGUGCUUAACACAUGCAAGUCGAACGAUGAACCUCACUUGUGGGGGGAUUAGUGGCGAACGGGUGCGUAACACGUGAGUAACCUGCCCUUGACUCUGGGAUAAGCCUGGGAAACCGGGUCUAAUACUGGAUACGACCUUCUGGCGCAUGCCAUGUUGGUGGAAAGCUUUUGUGGUUUUGGAUGGACUCGCGGCCUAUCAGCUUGUUGGUGGGGUAAUGGCCUACCAAGUCGACGACGGGUAGCCGGCCUGAGAGGGUGACCGGCCACACUGGGACUGAGACACGGCCCAGACUCCUACGGGAGGCAGCAGUGGGGAAUAUUGCACAAUGGGCGCAAGCCUGAUGCAGCGACGCCGCGUGAGGGAUGAAGGCCUGCGGGUUGUAAACCUCUUUCAGUAGGGAAGAAGCCGGCUUUUGGGUUGGUGACGGUACCUGCAGAAGAAGCGCCGGCUAACUACGUG
rnacentral:rRNA from 1 species